CAUCCAACAAGAAUAUGUUUAUAUUUAAGUUGAAUAUUAUAAUGGAUGAGAUGAGAAUGGCAUUUAUUCAAGACAAUCUAUGGAAAUCGGGGAGUUUUGAAUGUUUUGUAUUACUAAAUAAAAAUACAAAACAUUCAAAAUUCCCUGCUAUCCUUAGAUACGUUCUACAAUCAAAAAUUCAUCCAACAAGAAUAUUUUUAUAUUCAAGUUGUAUAUUAUAAUGGAUGAGAUGAGAAUGGCAUUUAUUCAAGACCAAAAAUCUAUGGAAAUCGGGGCAUUUGGACUGUUUUUGUAUAACUAAAUCAAAUUACUAAACAGUCCAAAUGACCGGCUAUCCUUAGGUACAUUCUACAAUCAAAAUUUCAUCCAACAAGACUAUUUUUAUAUUUAAGUUGUAUAUUAUAAUGGAUGAGAUGAGAGUGGCAUUUAUUCAAGACCAUCAAUCUAUGGAAAUCGGGGAGUUUUGAAUGUUAUGUAUAACUAAAUAAAAAUACAAAACAUUCAAAAUUCCCUGCUAUCCUUAGACAUGUUCUACAAUCAAAAAUUCAUCCAACAAGAAUAUUUUUAUAUUUAAGUCGAAUAUUAUAAUGGAUGAGAUGAGAGUGGCAUUUAUUCAAGACCAUCAAUCUAUGGAAAUCGGGGUGUUUUGAAUGUUUUGUAUUACUAAAUAAAAAUACAAAACAUUCAAAAUUCCCUGCUAUCCUUAGAUACGUUCUACAAUCAAAAAUUCAUCCAACAAGACUAUUUUUAUAUUUAAGUUGAAUAUUAUAAUGGAUGAGAUGAGAAUGGCAUUUAUUCAAGACCAAAAAUCUAUGGAAAUCGGGGCAUUUGGACUGUUUUUGUAUAACUAAAUCAAAUUACUAAACAGUCCAAAUGACCGGCUAUCCUUAGGUACAUUCUACAAUCAAAAAUUCAUCCAACAAGACUAUUUUUAUAUUUAAGUUGAAUAUUAUAAUGGAUGAGAUGAGAAUGGCAUUUAUUCAAGACAAUCUAUGGAAAUCGGGGAGUUUUGAAUGUUUUGUAUUACUAAAUAAAAAUACAAAACAUUCAAAAUUCCCUGCUAUCCUUAGAUACGUUCUACAAUCAAAAAUUCAUCCAACAAGAAUAUUUUUAUAUUUAAGUUGUAUAUUAUAAUGGAUGAGAUGAGAAUGGCAUUUAUUUAAGACCAAAAAUCUAUGGAAAUCGGGGCAUUUGGACUGUUUUCGUAUAACUAAAUCAAAUUACUAAACAGUCCAAAUGACCGGCUAUCCUUAGGUACAUUCUACAAUCAAAAAUUCAUCCAACAAGACUAUUUUUAUAUUUAAGUUGAAUAUUAUAAUGGAUGAGAUGAGAAUGGCAUUUAUUCAAGACCAAAAAUCUAUGGAAAUCGGGGCAUUUGGACUGUUUUCGUAUAACUAAAACAAAUUACUAAACAGUCCAAAUGACCGGCUAUCCUUAGGUACAUUCUACAAUCAAAAAUUCAUCCAACAAGACUAUUUUUAUAUUUAAGUCGAAUAUUAUAAUGGAUGAGAUGAGAAUGGCAUUUAUUCAAGAACAUCAAUCUAUGGAAAUCGGGGAGUUUUGAAUGUUUUGUAUUACUAAAUAAAAAUACAAAACAUUCAAAAUUCCCUGCUAUCCUUAGAUACUAUCUACAAUCAAAAAUUCAUCCAACAAGACUAUUUUUAUAUUUAAGUUGAAUAUUAUAAUGGAUGAGAUGAGAAUGGCAUUUAUUCAAGACAAUCUAUGGAAAUCGGGGAGUUUUGAAUGUUUUGUAUUACUAAAUAAAAAUACAAAACAUUCAAAAUUCCCUGCUAUCCUUAGAUACGUUCUACAAUCAAAAAUUCAUCCAACAAGAAUAUUUUUAUAUUUAAGUUGUAUAUUAUAAUGGAUGAGAUGAGAAUGGCAUUUAUUCAAGACCAAAAAUCUAUGGAAAUCGGGGCAUUUGGACUGUUUUCGUAUAACUAAAUCUAAUUACUAAACAGUCCAAAUGACCGGCUAUCCUUAGGUACAUUCUACAAUCAAAAAUUCAUCCAACAAGACUAUUUUUAUAUUUAAGUUGAAUAUUAUAAUGGAUGAGAUGAGAAUGGCAUUUAUUCAAGACAAUCUAUGGAAAUCGGGGAGUUUUGAAUGUUUUGUAUUACUAAAUAAAAAUACAAAACAUUCAAAAUUCCCUGCUAUCCUUAGAUACGUUCUACAAUCAAAAAUUCAUCCAACAAGAAUAUUUUUAUAUUCAAGUUGUAUAUUAUAAUGGAUGAGAUGAGAAUGGCAUUUAUUCAAGACCAAAAAUCUAUGGAAAUCGGGGCAUUUGGACUGUUUUUGUAUAACUAAAUCAAAUUACUAAACAGUCCAAAUGACCGGCUAUCCUUAGGUACAUUCUACAAUCAAAAUUUCAUCCAACAAGACUAUUUUUAUAUUUAAGUUGUAUAUUAUAAUGGAUGAGAUGAGAGUGGCAUUUAUUCAAGACCAUCAAUCUAUGGAAAUCGGGGAGUUUUGAAUGUUAUGUAUAACUUAAGAAAAAUACAAAACAUUCAAAAUUCCCUGCUAUGUUUAGGUACAUUCUACAAUCAAAAAUUCAUCCAACAAGGUCUAUUUUUUUAUACUUAAGUUGUUUGUAUAAUAUAUAAUAUGUUUAAAUGUUAUUCAGAUUAAAUUUAAUGACAAUAUUUAAAAUUAUAAGCCAAUAUUAUUGCAUUGUACCUAUUAGAAAUGUUUUGUACCUACUUGUUAUUCUUAGUAUACUUAAUUAUAAGAAAGUUCUAUGUUAAAAAAAAAGCACUAACUGUUAAAUAUUGAUUGUUUUUAAUUGUUUUAUAAUAUGUUUCAUAAGAUUUAAUUUAUUUUUUCUUCUUUAGUUAACAAAAAAAUGCUCCAAGUUAUUCAUAAUAUUAUCUUGAAUGAUAUAUUAUUUUCUAAUAAUUUUUAAUGUUACAAUUGUAUUGUAUUCAAAUAUUUUAACUGGGUAAUUACUAAUAUACCUCAUAACAUUUUAAUAAAACUAUUGUUUAUAUUUAAUUUUAAGUAUUUUAAAUAUUAAGGCUCAGAAGAAAGUUUAUGAUAUAAAACACCCAUCUCUGAAUUAAUGGAAAUUCUGAAUGUUUUUGUAGGCAUUGUAUUAUUUUAAACGUUACAAAACAUUCAGAAUUUUCUAAUGUACAGAGUUAUCAAACAUCUUGGAACAAGUCAACGCUACGUCUAUUAUAAGGGAAUUUGUUAAAAAGUAGAGUGUGGUUUUUGUUUACUUCGCUUUUUAACAAGUUUCUUGAUAAUUGAUGUGUUUACGCAACAACAAACUAUAAUGGAGGAGAGCAGCACUUAAGCCGACUAAUCUAUGGUUAUUGGGUAAUUUUGAUUGUAUUAGUACGACUUUUAAACAAUACAAUACAAUCAAAGAUACUUACUAUCCUCAGAUACAUACUACAAUCAAAUGAGAAGAGUUUAUAGGUAGGAAUUGGGGAAUUUUGAAUGUUGUAUGACUUCAGCAGUACCCUCAGAAUUCCUCAAAACCAGGGCACUUUUUAAUUAAAAAUUCUCUAGAAUUUUUACUUCAAUAAAUUUAACUGUAAAAAUUAGUAGUGGGAAAAAAAUGUUUUUGGCAUUAAAACCAUUGAAACAUUGUAUAGGUUCUAAUUAUCAAACUGUUAUAACUUGAUGUUGAAAGCUAAAAAAAAAUGUAGGGGUUCCCUGAAAAAAAGUUUAAGAAACGCUGAGAAAACAUUCGAAAUUCCCUAUUAUCCUUAGAUACAUAUUACAAAUUUUACAUUUAUUGUUUUAUUUUCUUUAAAUUUUUGUUUGUAUAAUAAAUAUUUUAAGUAUCAUUUAAACUAAGUUACAUGAUUUUACUUUUUAAAUAAAUAGACAAAUGUUUUUGCAUUGUGAUGAACAAUUUGUAACUUGUGAUAUUUAAUAUAAGUUGGUUUAAUUUAAAAAAUUUCUAGAAAGUCUAAAUUGUGUCAAUGAAAUAAAUUAAAUAAUGUAACUAUUGAAGCAAUUAAUAUUUUUAUGUAUUUUUGCAUAUUACCGAAUAAAUGUUUGAAUUCUUAUUUCCUGAAUAUUCUUAUCUCGAAUAAAAUAAAAUAUAUCCUCUACAUUCAAUUGUAUGCUAUAUGACAUGUUUCUGUAAAAUAGAAAAAAACGUAAUGCACAUUGCACAAUGACAUCUUAAUUUAAAAAUUAAUCUAAAUAGUAAAUAUAAUAAAUAUAUAAUGUCAUGGUGUGAUUGGUACUUAUUAAUAUUAGGAGCUUCUAUAUGUUACUGUACAACUAACCUUAUAUAAACAUUCAAAAUGUCUGAAGCAAAUAAACGCAAUAUUUUUAUAUUAAGGCUGGGGCCACACAUAGUGGUUGAACCGCGUAUGACGUGUGGACGCGUGUCAGGCUGUUGCAUUUAAAAUCAAAAAAUUUGAUUUUUUUGAGCGGUUCAAUCGCUGUGUGGCCCCGGCCUAGAUAAACUUAUUAAAAAUAUAUGGUGGAAAUGACUGUUAUACUUAGUUUUUUAAUAAGUUUCAUAAUCGGCAUGUAUAAACCAACUCAAUUAAAAAUAUAUACAUAUAGCAAUACGACUAUUGGAAAAUGUAUAAUAUUUUGAAUCUUAUUGUCCUGUACUGUAUCCCGUACUCCUAUCGUAUAAUUCUUAUUUAAAACUACUUGUCGUCUUAAUCUAUUGCUUAUGCCUUAUUUGUUAAGUUCAAAAUAUUCAUAAUAUAC